CUCAUGACCAUCUCGGAUACCUUUUCCUUCGUUCACCCUUUUCAUUUCAAAAUUUGAAUACUCAAAUUUUCUCUCUAGAUACCUGGAAACCCUAAAUACCAUCUCCACAACAGAAGCACUCUUUUCCUUCUUUCUUCACUUACCGGUGCCCCAUUACCACAAUCACCACAUACACCUCCUUCACUAUGACGACCACGCUCAUCGAUUUCAUUGAUUUCAUCUGUGUGUUUUAACUGUUUUUUCAGUACUCCGAUGAAGACGACACCUUCAUCAGUUCCAUCUAUUAUGGUAGCCACCCUCCAGAUAAGAUUUCAUGUAAGUUUUUGCUCACCUUCUUUCUUUCACUUAUCUUUAUCUGUUCCAGUCAACUCCACACACCACUCCAUUCUCUCUAAGAAACCCAAGAAACCCCAGAUCUAAAUCUUAGCUAUAAACCACAGAAUCUCGGCCCAUCCAGGUUUCUCUCUUAUACCUAUUUGUUCUUGCCUUCUUGGAAUAUGUCUAAUGUUUGUUUUGAAUCACUUUUUAUUCAGACUCUAAUUUUUGCUUUUUUGGGCUUCAUGUGCAAGGGUUUCAACAAAUGGAAUCCAACGACACCACCAACUAUCGCUUUCACCUCCAUAGAUAUUCCCAUCUCUCUCUCUCUCUCUCUCUCUCUCUCUCUCUCUCUCUCUCUCUUUCUCUCUCUCUCUGGUUUCAAGAAAUACAGACACACACCACCUUCACACUUCAGUCUGUACUUCUUUAUGAAAAUUGGGUUUUGACACCACCUUCACACUUUAAUAUGUAUUUCUCUAUAACAUUAGGUUUUGAUAAUGUUAUUUCUCUAUAACAUCAGACAUUGACCUGUUCUCCGGCGAAUUACACCACCGUAGAUGGCGGAGCCAGAGAUCGGUGAGCUGAGCUUCACCUGAUACAUGAUUUUACCGAUUCUUUCUGAUACAUUGCAUUUUUUCUCUCCAUUUAAUGUUUUUUGCAACAAAACCCCAAAGAAGUAGGUGUGAUUCACAUUUUCCACCAGCGGGAUUCUACUCGGAUUUUGUGGGGUUUUAAUCCGAUUUUUGUAAUAAAAAUUGAAACCCCCAUUUUACAAUAUUUGGAAUUAAAUCCUCUAAAUUUACUCAGAUUUACCAAUUAUGCUGUUUUCAAUUUGGUUGUUUCGAUUGAAUUACCUCUUCUUUCUCUCUCAUGUUUUUUCUUGGAUUUUUUAUGGCAAAUUGUUUGCUGAUAAGCAAAGCUACCUGGGAUUUUUAUAAAUUAAUUUUAUCAGUUUUUGUUGGAAUUAAUUGCUUGCAUGCUAUUUCUGUUUUGAUUCUCAUAGCUAUUAACCAUAACUAUCUGUAAUUGUUAUUCAAUUGUAUAUGUUAGGUGUAAGAUCAUUUCUAUGAGAAAAUGCAUUUGGGGGGUUUUUGGCAGGUUAGCAAGGAAUGGGAAUUAGGGUUCUUGAAUUGCAAUCCCAAUUCACACCACUCUUCAGUAAUCAGGUGAAAUCCAGAAUGAACUAUGGGAGAGGUUUUCCACUCCCUCAUUACGAAAACAGUAAUUCAUGGAAUCCGGCAACAAGAAUUCCACCGGAAAACGGAAUUGGGCCUCAUAGGGGCUCUUGGACUGCAGCCAUGCUUGGAGGAUUGAUUCCAGGGGUUGGUGGCUUAGGUGAGACUCCAGGAAGAGCACUUCCUGUGGAUGAUGAGAUCAUUUGUGGUUUGGAAGCAAAAUAAAAGCUUCUGGAUAGUUAAGGUUUCUCUUCUGUUUUGGGCCCUGUUCCAAUUAUGGUUUCUCUUUCAUGGAAUGUAUGUAUGGACGAAAGUAGAAAUGGAUUAGCCACUUGGCACUUGAGCUCAAUGAUUCAAAGCUUUGAAUCUCAUAUAGUGGCUCCCAGUAGCACAACACACAGAUCUUCACCAAGAUCUGAGAUGAUUAAUUAAGUUACAGGAUCCCACCAUAAGAGAUCUAUCAAGGUUUUCAAUGUGACACUACCAGUGGUUUCUGAUGUGGGGUUUGAAAGAAAUUUGAUAAUGUAGUGGUGUGAACCUGCUCCUUUAUAGGCACCACUACUUUCUAUUAGAAUAGUUUUUGUGUUUUUUCUCCUGAUAUGCACAACUUGCUAUAAAGUAAUCUGCAAAUAAAUAUUUGAAAUUUGGGUAUAAUUGUAUAAGUUUUGUAAGCUAUUUUGGUAACCAAGUCUAGCUACUUUGAAUUAUGUUUUCUAAAGGCUUGACCUGUUAUGUAUUGUUUAUAUAUGGUUGAAACUUGAUUCGUAUAUUUCUUUAAUCAACUAUAAAUUAAAAUGAUGCUUCAGUUAAUUUUUUACAUGUCUAAAUCUCACCUUUUAUUUUGGUUCCAUUCUAGCUUUUUGUUUGUGCCAAAGGAGGGAAAGCUGAUGUAAUGAAGAUCAAAUUUGGUUGGUACUUAGCUGCAACCAAAUCACUUUAGUGACUAAUGUUUGAAAUAAUUAGUAGUUAAAUAGAUAACUGUUGGUGAGUUGUUGGAUAGUUUUAUUUUUAAGUCAAAUGUUAAUGGGUUUUUUUUUUU